rnacentral:tRNA from 1 species
GCCGGAGUGGUGAAAUUGGUAUACACGUACGGUUUAGGACCGUAUGCCGAAAGGCUUGAGAGUUCAAAUCUCUCCUCCGGCA